UAUGUCCAUAUCAUGUUGAAACACCAGUUCUUGUAUGAUCAUUGAAGUUAAGCAACAUCAAGCCUGGUCAGUACCCAGAUGGGUGAGCACUUGGGAAUACUAGGAGGUGUA